GAUAAAUGAUGAAGUGCCGUUGUACCGCCCACCCUACACCCCAAGAAGCACGCCCCCGGCGCCGCGGCAGCCUCCGUCGGGCUAUCUCUCAUCCCUCUCCGGUCACGGCCAGACUCGUCAGCCGCGUACGAGGCCGCUCGCCGGCGGCAGGUCCAUCGGUCCUGCCUCCUGCUUUACCUUCCGCGUCGGCGGAGGUGCGGUACUCCUCCCGCGCUUUCCGCUCGGGCGCCUCUGGUGAGCGCGUUCGGCAUUGAUUGCAACCCGCGGCGGCGCUGGUUGCUGCGCGCGCGCGCGCGCCGAGCGUCGCACCGACGCUACUGGAUCGCGGUGCGCCUCUUCAGCGGACGCACGCACCUCCCCAGAGGGUGAGUCGAGCUUGGCUGGAAUCGGCCAGCAAUGCCAACCGCCCGCCUGUCCUCCAUCUCCACCUCCUCCUUCAGGGCCCCCCUCGCCGCCUUGGCUGCCGCCACGGAACGCGUUCGCGCUGGAACGCUAAGCCGGGAGGAUGCGCACCACCUGUUCGACGAAUUGCUAGGCCAAGCCGCCGCCGCCCCGGAACACGGGCUGAACAACUUUCUUGCCGCACUCGCCCGUGCUCCACCCUCAGCUGCCUGCAGCGAUGGCCCCGGCCUUGCCAUCGCCCUCUUCAACCGCAUGUCCCGAGGCGCUGGUGCACGGGUGGUGUGGCCCACGCUCUGUACCUAUUCCAUCCUCAUGGACUGCUGCUGCCGUGCACGCCGCCCAGAGUUGGUGGUUGCCUUCUUCGGCCGCCUCCUCAGGUUGGGGCUGCGCUUGGAUAUCAUCUCCUCCAGCAAUCUCCUCAAGGGGCUCUGCCAGGCCAAGCGUUCAAAUGAGGCUUUGGACAUGCUGCUCCACCGGAUGCCCGAACUGGACUGUGCGCCUGAUGUCUUCUCGUUCAACAUAGUAAUCAACGGCUGCUUUAAAGAAGGUGAAGUAGACAAAGCGUGCAAUCUCUUGCAUGAGAUGCCCCAACUGGGAGUUCAACCUGAUGUGGUCACCUACACCUCAAUCAUCAACGCACUAAGCAAGUCUGGAGCAAUGGACAAGGCAGAAGUGGUCCUUCGGCAAAUGGUUGAUCAAGGCAUUGGACCCAACAUCAGGACAUAUACUAGCCUGAUACAUGGAUAUUCCGCUUCGGGUCAGUGGAAGGCGGCAGCUAGAGUAUUCAAAGAGAUGGUAAGUCUUGGUGUUCUACCAAAUGUUGUCACAUGGAACUCAUUUAUGGAUUCACUUUGCAAGCAUAGAAGGACAAAGGAAGCUCGAGAUAUUUUUGACUCCAUGGCUGCAAAGGGUCAAAAACCUGAUAUUGUCUCCUACUCUAUUAUGCUUAACGGGUACGCGAAAGAAGGAUACUUCGAUGACAUGACUGAUUUGUUCAAUUCGAUGCUACAGAAUGGUAUUGUACCUAAUCACCAUGUUUUCAACAUAUUGAUUAAUGCAUAUGCUAAACGUGGACUGAUGGAUGAGGCUAUGCACAUGUUUAAAGUAAUGAGGCAACAAGGAGUAAACCCAAAUGUAGUUAGCUAUCAAGUCAUAAUGGAUUCACUUUGUAAAAUGGGUAGGAUGGAUGCUGCUCUGGACAAAUUUAAUCAGAUGGUCAAUCAAGGAGUUUCACCUGACAAAGCUGUUUACCGAUGCCUGGUUCUGGGUUCUUGUUCUCAUGGUGAUUUUGUGAAGGCCAAGGAAUUGAUUUCUGAAGCCGUUAAUAGAGGUCUGUGUUCUAACAGUGUGUUCUUCUAUUCUGUAAUAAAUGACCUGUGCAAAGAAGGAAAGGUGAAGGAGGCACAGGAUAUGUUUCACUUCAUUGUAGGUAUUGGUCAGCGGCCUGAUGUGAUUAUGUACACUUCACUGAUGGAUGGAUAUUGCCUUGUUGGCAAGGUGGAGGAAGCACUGAGAGUACUUGAUGCUAUGAAGUCUGCUGGCCUCCAACCUACUGCUGUUACGUAUGCUAUACUUCUUAAUGGCUACUGUAAAAUUGGCAGGAUCGCCGAUGGAUUGAGUCUUUUCAAGGAAAUGUCACUCAGCGGGGUUAAACCCACGACUAUUAUGUACAACAUUAUACUUGAUGGGCUGUUUCGCUCCGGGAGAACAGUUUCUGCAAAGGAAAAAUUCUGUAUGAUGAGCGAAAGUGGCAUACCAGUGGGCAUUGACACAUACAACAUAGUUCUUAGUGGACUUUGUAAAAAUAAUUGCACUGGUGAAGCAAUAGAGCUGUUCAAGAAACUACGUGCAAUGAAUGUGAAGAUUGAUGUCAUAACACUCAAUAUCAUGAUUUCUGCAAUGUUUAAAACUAGGAGAAUUGAAGAAGCCAAGGAUUUGUUUGCUACUAUAUCAGCCAUCGGGUUGGUGCCUUCUGUUGUGACAUACAGCUUAAUGAUGACAAACUUCAUAAAAGAAGGGUUGCUGGCAGAGGCUGAUGAUAUGUUUUUAGCAGUGGAGAAGGCUAACUGUGCUCCCAACUCCAGGCUGCUAAAUCAUGUGGUCAGGGUGUUGCUGGAAAAAGGUGCAGUUGUAAAGGGUGCAAAUUAUCUGGCUAAACUUGAUGCAAAACAGAUGUCACUUGAUGUUUCAACGAUUUCGUUAAUUGUGUCUCUCUUCUCAGGGGAAGGGAAAUUGAGGGAGCACGUAAAAUUGCUUCCGAAUGUUACAGAAAACUAGGAUUGCUCUUAGUUAAAUGCUUGCAUUUCGGAAAUUUACAGGUUACAGCCAUUGCAAGGAAAAUCAAUUUGUUGCCAAUGAAAUCCUGCUAGAGCUAUCAAAGGGAUGAUCAACAGAGCGUGAAGGAUCAGUGAUGUACUGCCAUUGGGGUUCUUAUCCCAGAAAUGUUUAUCAUGGUGCAUUCUAGGUCCGCUGCGCAAUCCUUGUGAAGACAAAUUUUAGAUGAAAGGUUCUGCAAUCUGCAAUCAUUGCACACACUUAUAUGUAUUCUGUAUGGUCAUGGUCAGUCAGUCAGUUAAUACCAGUACGCUUGAAAGUAGCUCCUUUGGUUGAAACACAAUGCUUGUCUCUGAAACCAAAUAAAAUACUGCAUUAUUUGAAAGAAGUAGAAUGAAUUACCUGACAAAGUAUGCAUUUCCAAGAGAACAUGAGCUUCCUUCUCUGGCUUUCUGUGUGGAAAUUGCAGGAGUUGAUUAUUUUAUUAGUCUUGUGACCUUCUGGUCAACCUGUAUCUCAACCUGGAAGGGGCAGACAAUAUCUGGUCAACAAUGGAGAAGACUGGCUGUGCUCCAACUCUCAGUUGCAAAAAAAUAUAUGGUCAGGGUGUUACUGGAGAAAGGUGAAGUAAUCAGGGCCGGAGGUUAUCUUUCUAAAAUUGAUGAGAAGAAUUUAGUACUUGAAGCUUCAACCGUUGAGCUGCAGUCGAUGAUCUCUCUCUCUCUCUUCCAAAGGACAGAGACAUGCCAGAAAAUAUAGUAUUUCUUUUCCUCUGGACGUUCAAGGAUGCUGUAAUAAUCUGUGCCGGACCUGAGGUUCUCAUCUGAAUGAAACCGGAAGCGGGGGGCUCCUUAAUUCGAAGAAAGAAAGCAAAAUUCUGUGAACGUUUUCUCUGGAGCAGGGCAAUGUGAAGUUGUGAACUCAAAUUGGGGAAGCUUUCAUCAUCAUCGUUUGUCCCAACACAUAUUUACAAUCAGGAGGGGAUUAGUUGGCCGGCCGAGCCAAUUAAUUCUGGUCAAGAUUCAAUGAGCAUAACUAAAUUUAAUUUUACAAAAUAUAUCAUUUCUUUCCAUAGAUUGUUACUCAUGUGAAUUAUCUAUACACCACAGAAAAAUGUUAUAUGCAGAAUGUCCGGCUGUUUGCCGGGUGAUUUUUCACGGGGUUUUC